rnacentral:rRNA from 1 species
CAAAAAAACAAUCUCAGUUCAGACUGCAGGCUGCAACUCGCCUGCACGAAGUCGGAAUUGCUAGUAAUCGUAGGUCAGCAUACUACGGUGAAUACGUUCCCGGGCCUUGUACACACCGCCCGUCAAACCAUGAGAGUUGGCAACACCCGAAGUCGGUAGUCUAACCGCAAGGAGGACGCCGCCGAAGGUGGGGUUNAUGAUUAGGGUUAAGUCGUAACAAGGUAGC